UACGUAGGGGGCUAGCGUUGUCCGGAAUCAUUGGGCGUAAAGCGCGCGUAGGCGGCCCUGUAAGUCCGCUGUGAAAGUCAAAGGCUCAACCUUUGAAUGCCGGUGGAUACUGCAGGGCUAGAGUCCGGAAGAGGCAAGUGGAAUUCCUGGUGUAGCGGUGGAAUGCGCAGAUAUCAGGAGGAACACCAACGGCGAAGGCAGCUUGCUGGGACGGUACUGACGCUAAGGCGCGAAAGCGUGGGGAGCGAACAGG
rnacentral:rRNA from 1 species